GGGGAUUUAGCUCAGUUGGCUAGAGCGUUAGACUGGCAGUCUAAAGGUCACCGGUUCGAUCCCGGUAAUCUCCA
rnacentral:tRNA from 1 species